rnacentral:rRNA from 1 species
CCCUUAGAUGUCCUGGGCCGCACGCGCGUUACACUGAUGCAUUCAACGAGCUUAUAACCUUGGCCGAGAGGCCUGGGCAAUCUUGUUAACGUGCAUCGUGAUAGGGAUAGAUUAUUGAAAUUAUUAAUCUUGAACGAGGAAUUCCUAGUAAACGCAGAUCAUCAAUCUGCUUUGAUUACGUCCCUGCCCUUUGUACACACCGCCCGUCGCACCUACCGAUUGGAUGGUCCGGUGAAGCCUCGGGAUUGUGGUUCUUGCCGCUUUAUUGUGGCGUGACCGCGAGAACUUGUCUAAACCUUAUCAUCUAGAGGAAGGUGAAGUCGUAACA